CCCAGAGAUGCCUUCACCUUUACAAGGAGAAUACCUUAAGUCCUGACAGACUGAGCCUCCAGCCGUCCCUCAGAAGCCUGUAUUCAAGGUCGUCUUGUUGCACACUGCACAGCCAACAUGGGCAAUACAUGGGGCGAAUGUUCCAUUGACAUUAAAAAUGAAUCCUCUACCUACGACUUCGGCAACCCCUGUAUACAUAUGGUAAGGGGUCAAUGCUCUAACCCUCUGCCACCGCUGAUUGAGUCAAAUUCAUCUGGCAGUGCACAGUUCGGCAAGACUUACGGCAGUCCUACAGGAACUGUUGGCGUCUUCACUUAUGACAUCAUCAACAAAUCUACAAAAACGACCACUGGGAUAAUUGCUGUCAUGUUCUCUGUGCCCUACGACUAUACCUAUUUCGAUAACUUGUAUGCAGUGGGAAACUUUGGUAAUAGCCAAAAUUGUGAUUAUGAUCUUUAUCGUAAGAUGUACUAUGAAUCACACAGCAGAUUUGUCAGAGGUAAAGCAACUGAUCCCAGUAUCACUCAUACGGGUGAUUAUGUCACCAUCUUUGCAUCAAUGUCGAACGCAGGCCAGUCUGCCCUAAAAGUGGUAGUGAAAGACAAAUGAAAUAAGAGAAUUGGAAAGUGCUAAAAAGUAGAUUACCCUGCAGCACAUUCUGCUUUUAUAGCUAAUACAUAGUCAAUGUGUAGUCAUUUUGGAUAAUUUUGUUCAGGGCAAAAAUAAUUAGGAAUGCGUGCUUAAGAUGUUUUCAUUGCUUUACAAUAUUAUUCCACUGUUUUGUUUAAUGUGUAGAAACUGUAGUAGAGCUGUUGAUUGUCCUUCGAAAGAAAAAGAUGAUGCAUUUGAUGGAUUAGUUACACGUGAGUAACAAGUAAUUAUGUCAUGCCAAAAAGUUUAAUAAAGCUUUCAAAAGUA